rnacentral:rRNA from 1 species
GAUGAACGCUAGCGGCAGGCUUAACACAUGCAAGUCGAGGGGUAUUGGUUUUCGGACCAAGAGACCGGCGCACGGGUGCGUAACGCGUAUGCAAUCUACCUUUUGCAGAGGGAUAGCCCCAGAGAAAUUUGGAUUAAUACCUCAUAGUAUAGUACUUUGGCAUCAAGGAACUAUUAAAGUCACAACGGCAAAAGAUGAGCAUGCGUCCCAUUAGCUAGUUGGUAAGGUAACGGCUUACCAAGGCUACGAUGGGUAGGGGUCCUGAGAGGGAGAUCCCCCACACUGGUACUGAGACACGGACCAGACUCCUACGGGAGGCAGCAGUGAGGAAUAUUGGACAAUGGGCGCAAGCCUGAUCCAGCCAUGCCGCGUGCAGGAUGACGGUCCUAUGGAUUGUAAACUGCUUUUAUACAGGAGAAACACUCCGACGUGUCGGAGCUUGACGGUACUGUAAGAAUAAGGAUCGGCUAAACUCCGUGCCAGCAGCCGACGG